CGGGAGAUGGCUGAGUGGUCGAAAGCGGCGGUCUUGAAAACCGUUGAGGGUCAUACCUCCGGGGGUUCGAAUCCCUCUCUCCCGGCCA
rnacentral:tRNA from 1 species